GACGAACGCUGGCGGCGUGCUUAACACAUGCAAGUCGAACGGAAAGGCCCUGCUUUUGUGGGGUGCUCGAGUGGCGAACGGGUGAGUAACACGUGAGUAACCUGCCCUUGACUUUGGGAUAACUUCAGGAAACUGGGGCUAAUACCGGAUAGGAGCUCCUGCUGCAUGGUGGGGGUUGGAAAGUUUCGGCGGUUGGGGAUGGACUCGCGGCUUAUCAGCUUGUUGGUGGGGUAGUGGCUUACCAAGGCUUUGACGGGUAGCCGGCCUGAGAGGGUGACCGGCCACAUUGGGACUGAGGUACGGCCCAGACUCCUACGGGAGGCAGCAGGGGGGAAUAUUGCACAAUGGGCGGAAGCCUGAAGCAGCAACGCCGCGUGCGGGAUGACGGCCUUCGGGUUGUAAACCGCUUUCGCCUGUGACGAAGCGUGAGUGACGGUAAUGGGUAAAGAAGCACCGGCUAACUACGUG
rnacentral:rRNA from 1 species